ACCAGGUGCUGUGGAGGGUGAUUCCAACCUCCUGCUGAGUAACCAGUUCUUUCCACUUCAGCAUGAGGUCUGUCCCGGUCAUUAGGGAGACUUCUGCAGGGGGGGUGAGCCAGCCAGGUGCUUUCUUCUGUAUCACCGUACUGACAUGUCACGAGAGGGAACAUCCUUUGGUUUGAGCAUUAAGCCCUUGAUACUAGAGGUCAAGCUGGAUGAUGAGGUAGGAUUAGAUCAUGCACACUGCUCAUCUGCUGCGUGCUGCUGGGCACAGUGCAGUUGGCUGAUCUGCAAGUCUAUCCGUGUGUCCUGUUGAGAGAGGUUCCUACUGUCUCUGGAAGAAAACAAGUUUGUCCAAGGAACAGCAGCAGCCUUUGGAGUAUGGAAAACCACAGAAGAAACUGGAACCGUCUAUGAAAGUCAACCCAAGCACCUCUUCCAACACCUGGGGCUACGGGUGACCUUCUAGGCUUUGCUGUUACACCAUUUCAGGAGCCCUCCUUCCC
ensembl:lncRNA